UUAAGUUAUUAAGGGCGCACGGUGGAUGCCUUGGCACUAGAAGCCGAUGGAGGACGUUACUAACGACGAUAUGCUUUGGGGAGCUGUAAGUAAGCUUUGAUCCAGAGAUUUCCGAAUGGGGAAACCCAGCAUGAGUUAUGUCAUGUUAUCGAUAUGUGAAUACAUAGCAUAUCAGAAGGCACACCCGGAGAACUGAAACAUCUUAGUACCCGGAGGAAGAGAAAGAAAAUUCGAUUCCCUUAGUAGCGGCGAGCGAAAUGGGAAGAGCCCAAACCAACAAGCUUGCUUGUUGGGGUUGUAGGACACUCUAUACGGAGUUACAAAGGACGACAUUAGACGAAUCAUCUGGAAAGAUGAAUCAAAGAAGGUAAUAAUCCUGUAGUCGAAAAUGUUGUCUCUCUUGAGUGGAUCCUGAGUACGACGGAGCACGUGAAAUUCCGUCGGAAUCUGGGAGGACCAUCUCCUAAGGCUAAAUACUCUCUAGUGACCGAUAGUGAACCAGUACCGUGAGGGAAAGGUGAAAAGCACCCCGGAAGGGGAGUGAAAUAGAACCUGAAACCGUGUGCUUACAAGUAGUCAGAGCCCGUUAAUGGGUGAUGGCGUGCCUUUUGUAGAAUGAACCGGCGAGUUACGAUUUGAUGCAAGGUUAAGCAGUAAAUGUGGAGCCGUAGCGAAAGCGAGUCUGAAUAGGGCGUUUAGUAUUUGGUCGUAGACCCGAAACCAGGUGAUCUACCCUUGGUCAGGUUGAAGUUCAGGUAACACUGAAUGGAGGACCGAACCGACUUACGUUGAAAAGUGAGCGGAUGAACUGAGGGUAGCGGAGAAAUUCCAAUCGAACCUGGAGAUAGCUGGUUCUCUCCGAAAUAGCUUUAGGGCUAGCCUCAAGUGAUGAUUAUUGGAGGUAGAGCACUGUUUGGACGAGGGGCCCCUCUCGGGUUACCGAAUUCAGACAAACUCCGAAUGCCAAUUAAUUUAACUUGGGAGUCAGAACAUGGGUGAUAAGGUCCGUGUUCGAAAGGGAAACAGCCCAGACCACCAGCUAAGGUCCCAAAAUAUAUGUUAAGUGGAAAAGGAUGUGGCGUUGCCCAGACAACUAGGAUGUUGGCUUAGAAGCAGCCAUCAUUUAAAGAGUGCGUAAUAGCUCACUAGUCGAGUGACACUGCGCCGAAAAUGUACCGGGGCUAAACAUAUUACCGAAGCUGUGGAUUGUCCUUUGGACAAUGGUAGGAGAGCGUUCUAAGGGCGUUGAAGCAUGAUCGUAAGGACAUGUGGAGCGCUUAGAAGUGAGAAUGCCGGUGUGAGUAGCGAAAGACGGGUGAGAAUCCCGUCCACCGAUUGACUAAGGUUUCCAGAGGAAGGCUCGUCCGCUCUGGGUUAGUCGGGUCCUAAGCUGAGGCCGACAGGCGUAGGCGAUGGAUAACAGGUUGAUAUUCCUGUACCACCUAUAAUCGUUUUAAUCGAUGGGGGGACGCAGUAGGAUAGGCGAAGCGUGCGAUUGGAUUGCACGUCUAAGCAGUAAGGCUGAGUAUUAGGCAAAUCCGGUACUCGUUAAGGCUGAGCUGUGAUGGGGAGAAGACAUUGUGUCUUCGAGUCGUUGAUUUCACACUGCCGAGAAAAGCCUCUAGAUAGAAAAUAGGUGCCCGUACCGCAAACCGACACAGGUAGUCAAGAUGAGAAUUCUAAGGUGAGCGAGCGAACUCUCGUUAAGGAACUCGGCAAAAUGACCCCGUAACUUCGGGAGAAGGGGUGCUCUUUAGGGUUAACGCCCAGAAGAGCCGCAGUGAAUAGGCCCAAGCGACUGUUUAUCAAAAACACAGGUCUCUGCUAAACCGUAAGGUGAUGUAUAGGGGCUGACGCCUGCCCGGUGCUGGAAGGUUAAGAGGAGUGGUUAGCUUCUGCGAAGCUACGAAUCGAAGCCCCAGUAAACGGCGGCCGUAACUAUAACGGUCCUAAGGUAGCGAAAUUCCUUGUCGGGUAAGUUCCGACCCGCACGAAAGGCGUAACGAUUUGGGCACUGUCUCAACGAGAGACUCGGUGAAAUCAUAGUACCUGUGAAGAUGCAGGUUACCCGCGACAGGACGGAAAGACCCCGUGGAGCUUUACUGUAGCCUGAUAUUGAAAUUCGGCACAGCUUGUACAGGAUAGGUAGGAGCCUUUGAAACGUGAGCGCUAGCUUACGUGGAGGCGCUGGUGGGAUACUACCCUAGCUGUGUUGGCUUUCUAACCCGCACCACUUAUCGUGGUGGGAGACAGUGUCAGGCGGGCAGUUUGACUGGGGCGGUCGCCUCCUAAAAGGUAACGGAGGCGCUCAAAGGUUCCCUCAGAAUGGUUGGAAAUCAUUCAUAGAGUGUAAAGGCAUAAGGGAGCUUGACUGCGAGACCUACAAGUCGAGCAGGGUCGAAAGACGGACUUAGUGAUCCGGUGGUUCCGCAUGGAAGGGCCAUCGCUCAACGGAUAAAAGCUACCCCGGGGAUAACAGGCUUAUCUCCCCCAAGAGUUCACAUCGACGGGGAGGUUUGGCACCUCGAUGUCGGCUCAUCGCAUCCUGGGGCUGUAGUCGGUCCCAAGGGUUGGGCUGUUCGCCCAUUAAAGCGGUACGCGAGCUGGGUUCAGAACGUCGUGAGACAGUUCGGUCCCUAUCCGUCGUGGGCGUAGGAAAUUUGAGAGGAGCUGUCCUUAGUACGAGAGGACCGGGAUGGACAUACCUCUGGUGUACCAGUUGUCGUGCCAACGGCAUAGCUGGGUAGCUAUGUGUGGACGGGAUAAGUGCUGAAAGCAUCUAAGCAUGAAGCCCCCCUCAAGAUGAGAUUUCCCAACUUCGGUUAUAAGAUCCCUCAAAGAUGAUGAGGUUAAUAGGUUCGAGGUGGAAGCAUGGUGACAUGUGGAGCUGACGAAUACUAAUCGAUCGAAGACUUAAUCAA
rnacentral:rRNA from 1 species